GCAGCAAUUAUGAAUGGCUAAGUUAAUAAAACUGCCUAUGAAGAACAUCCAAGCUUUUGUUUCAGUGCUAACACUUCAGGAGGUUGAAGGCUCUUGGCAUCACUAAGAUCUAGAAUCUCUUUCAAGCGUCGCGUUCAAAUUCCUUAGUGGUCACCGACUUGGAGGGAACAACUUGCUGGCCUUUGUGAUGAGACAGCAGAAAGACAGGGACAGGGAAGAGAGAGGAGAUGACAUGCAGCAAAGGACCCGAAGUCUGGCUUGAACCCAGGUUACCAUUGCAAGGACCCAGCCCCAGAGAGGCUCUUGCUUGUCCUCAGUGGACACUGAUGACAACUCUUCAGGCAGAAGUUACAACACUCAAAGUUCCAGUUGCCCAAACAUCAUACCAUGUCGGAGAGUCUCCUAACUGUCUUCAGUCAAGUUUGGACCCAGUGACUUGGACACCAGUCUU